CAUUUUUCUUCCAUCUCAUCUCAAGGCUCAAAGGAGUUUAUCAUAUUAUUGAAGAGCAGAACAGAACAAAACAAUACAUCAAGUCCCAAUAUUCAAUAUUGUUUUGCAGAGAAAACCAGAUAUAAAACACAGCUGAUGUGAUCAUUCAGCUCCAUAUUCUGGAUGAUUAUUGCACGUCUUAAGUGGAUGAUAUAAGACACAAGAGAUGGAGACC
rnacentral:lncRNA from 1 species